AUGGCAACGGCGGGCGCGAUGGACGCGGUGUGGCACGUGCGUGGGCAUGGAGAGCCAGAGAGGGAGUGGCCCCGCGGGCGCGGAAGAAGAGCUGAAGGCUCGGGCAUGGGCGCGCAUAGGAGCGGGCAUGUGCCACGGGGUCAAUCCGAGGAGCUCAGUGGCUACCCCUGCAAUGGCCAUGGCGGACGGCGGUUCUCGGCCAUGGCGAAAUACCUAACGAGAGCAAACGAGAGGGGAAAUUAA
rnacentral:rRNA from 1 species